GAUCGCUGUGAUGCGGGCGGUUCGCCGCCCGUGACUCUGCGAGAAGUCCAUUGAACCUUAUCAUUUAGAGGAAGGAGAAGUCGUAACAAGGUUUCCGUAGGUGAACCUGCGGAAGGAUCAUUGUCGAGACCGAAAUAUAUCGAGCAAUUUUGAGAACCUGUCAAAAUAAGCGGUGGAUAUUGCUGCUGCGACAUAAUCCAUCCAAGUCGUCGCCUCAUCCCAUCUUCGGGGCGGGGACGCGACGAAGGAUGGAUGAACCCUCAAACCGGCGCAGCGUUGUGCCAAGGGAAUAUCAAAACAUGAGCCCUAGAAUGGGUUUUUGUGGCAUUGGGUGUUAUUGCACGCCAUAUGGAUUGACACGACUCUCGGCAAUGGAUAUCUCGGCUCUCGCAUCGAUGAAGAGCGCAGCGAAAUGCGAUACGUGGUGCGAAUUGCAGAAUCCCGCGAACCAUCGAGUCUUUGAACGCAAGUUGCGCCCGAGGCCAACCGGCCAAGGGCACGUCUGCCUGGGCGUCAAGCAUUACAUCGCUCCAUGUCAAGUCACCCUUCGAUGGAUGGGCUGGCGAAGGCUUGGAUGUGCACAGUGGCUCGUCGUGCCACUUGGUGCGGCGGGCUGAAGAGCGGGUCGUCAUCCUCUUGGCCGCGAACAAUAAUGGGUGGAUUAAAGCGAUGCCUAAGUUAUUGUGUGUGCAUGCCUAAGAGAUGAUUAUACUUUUUAAGUGAUCCCAAUUCAUGCGUCGAUCCAUGGAUGACGUUUUGAAUGCGACCCCAGGAUAGGCGAGGCCACCCGCCGAGUUUAAGCAUAUCAAUAAGCGGAGGAGAAGAAACUUACGAGGAUUCCCCUA
rnacentral:rRNA from 1 species